rnacentral:rRNA from 1 species
CCUACGGGUGGCAGCAGUGGGGAAUAUUGCACAAUGGGGGAAACCCUGAUGCAGCGACGCCGCGUGAGUGAAGAAGUAAUUCGUUACGUAAAGCUCUAUCAGCAGGGAAGAAACACUGACCUUACGGUCAGCAGACGGUACCUGAGUAAGAAGCCCCGGCUAACUACGUGCCAGCAGCCGCGGUAAUACGUAGGGGGCAAGCGUUAUCCGGGUUUACUGGGUGUAAAGGGGGCGUAGACGGUGCGCCAAGUCUGGGGUGAAAUGCCGAAGCUUAACUGCGGAACUGCUUUGGAAACUGGCGAACUAGAGUGCGGGAGGGGUAAGCGGAAUGCCUAGUGUAGCGGUGAAAUGCGUAGAUAUUAGGAGGAACACCGGUGGCGAAGGCGGCUUACUGGACCGUAACUGACGUUGAGGCUCGAAAGCGUGGGGAGCAAACAGGAUUAGAUACCCGAGUAGUC